AGUAGUGAAGUAAAAAUUACAUUUAGUUUCGACCUAAAAAUUAGAGAAAAUUUCUCCUUACUU
rnacentral:tRNA from 1 species